AGCAGCCGCGGUAAUUCCAGCUCCAAUAGCGUAUAUUAAAGUUGUUGCAGUUAAAAAGCUCGUAGUUGAAUUUCGGGGUCAGUAGGUUGGUCGUGCCACCGGUACGUACUGGUCUCACUGAUUCCUCCUUCCUGAUGAGCUGUAAUGCCAUUAAUUUGGUGUUGCAGGGAAUCUGGACUGUUACUUUGAAAAAAUUAGAGUGUUUAAAGCAGGCUAACGCUUGAAUACAUUAGCAUGGAAUAAUGAAAUAGGACGUUCGAUCCUAUUUUGUGGUUUCUAGGAUUGACGUAAUGAUUAAUAGGGAUAGUUGGGGCAUUAGUAUUCAAUUGUCAGAGGUGAAAUUC
rnacentral:rRNA from 1 species